rnacentral:rRNA from 1 species
AAGCGUUUGUAGCCAGACUUGGCGGCAGUUGCUCAACCGGUCCUUGCCCGGUGCACUCUUCUGCCGACAGGCCAGCAUCAGUUCGGGCGGCCGGAUAAAGGCAUUGGGAACGUGGCUCCUCGGAGUGUUAUAGCCCUUUGCACAAUGCGGCCCGCCCGGACUGAGGACCGCGAUUCACGGAUGCUGGCUUAAUGGCUGCCAACGG